AUUGAACGCUGGCGGCAGGCCUAACACAUGCAAGUAGAACGAGUGGCGGACGGGUGAGUAAUGUCUGGGAAACGGCCUGCUGGAGGGGGAUAACUACUGGAAACGGUAGCUAAUAACGCAUACCAUCGGAUGUGCCCAGAUGGGAUUAGCUAGUAGGUGGGGUAACGGCUCACCUAGGCGACGCUCCCUAGCUGGUCUGAGAGGAUGACCAGCCACACGUGAACUGAGACACGUUCCAGACUCCUACGGGAGGCAGCAGUGGGGAAUAUUGCACAAUGGUCGCAAGCCUGAUGCAGCCAUGCCGCGUGUAUGAAGAAGUCCUUCGGGUUGUAAAGUACUUUCAGCGGGGAGGCGUUACCCGCAGAAGAAGCACCGGCUAACUCCGUGCCAGCAGCCGCGGUAAUAC
rnacentral:rRNA from 1 species